rnacentral:rRNA from 1 species
GGAUGAACGUUGGCGGCGUGCCUAAUACAUGCAAGUCGAACGAAGACUGUAGUAAUACUGUCUUAGUGGCGAACGGGUGAGUAACGCGUGGGUGACCUGCCCCGAAGUGUGGGAUAACAGUCCGAAAGGAUUGCUAAUACUGCAUAAUAUCCAAGAGAUUAGACGCUUUUGGAUUAAAGGAGUAAUUCGCUUCGGGAGGGGCCCGCGUCCCAUCAGCUAGUUGGUAAGGUAAUGGCUUACCAAGGCGAUGACGGGUAGGGGACCUAAGAGGGUGGCCCCCCACAAUGGAACUGAAACACGGUCCAUACACCUACGGGUGGCAGCAGUAGGGAAUAUUAGUAAUGGGCGAAAGCCUGAACUAGCAACGCCGCGUGUGCGAAGAAGGCCUUCGGGUCGUAAAGCACUUUUUGAGAGGAUGAGGAAGGACGGUACUCUCAGAAUAAGUCUCGGCUAACUACGUGCCAGCAGCCGCGGUAACACGUAGGAGGCAAACGUUAUCCGGAUUUACUGGGCGUAAAGCGCGUGUAGGUGGUUUGGUAAGUAGGGCGUGAAAGCUCCUGGCUCAACUGGGAGAGGACGUUCUAAACUGCCAAGCUUGAGGAUGGUAGAGGGAGGUGGAAUUCCGGGUGUAGCGGUGGAAUGCGCAGAUAUCCGGAGGAACACCAGUGGCGAAGGCGGCCUCCUGGACCACUCCUGACACUCAGACGCGAAAGCUAGGGUAGCAAACGGGAUUAGAGACCCCGGUAGUCCUAGCCCUAAACGAUGUAGACUUGGCGUCGAUGGUUUAAUCGCCAUCGGUGUCGUAGCUAACGCGAUAAGUCUACCGCCUGGGGACUACGGCCGCAAGGUUAAAACUCAAAGGAAUUGACGGGUCCCCGCACAAGCAGCGGAGCGUGUGGUUUAAUUCGAUGCUACACGAAGAACCUUACCUGGGUUUGACAUAGAGGUAGUAGGGAAGCGAAAGCGGACCGACCCUUCGGGGAGCCUCUACAGGUGUUGCAUGGCUGUCGUCAGCUCGUGUCGUGAGAUGUUGGGUUAAGUCCCGCAACGAGCGCAACCCUUGCCAUUAGUUGCUACGAAAGGGCACUCUAAUGGGACUGCCGGUGACAAACCGGAGGAAGGUGGGGAUGACGUCAAGUCCUCAUGGCCCUUAUAGGUGGGGCUACACACGUCAUACAAUGGCCGGUACAAAGGGUAGCCAACCCGCGAGGGGGAGCCAAUCCCAUAAAGCCGGUCGUAGUCCGGAUCGCAGUCUGCAACUCGACUGCGUGAAGUCGGAAUCGCUAGUAAUCGUGGAUCAGCAUGUCACGGUGAAUACGUUCCCGGGUCU